GAUCAUCUAGUCCAACCCCCUGCUCAAAGCAGGACCAAUCCCCAAAUGGCCCCCUCAAGGAUUGAACUCACAACCCUGGGUUUAGGAGGCCAAUGCUCAAACCACUGAGCUAUCCCUCCCCCCGAUAUCUAGCACAGUAGCAUGUUGGACAGUGAUAGCUCUUCCAUAGGUGGUUUGCUGCUCUUGCAGAGGCCCGCUCAAGGCCAAUGGAGCCGCCCCAGACAGAGGAGAAGCAUCUGGAGGAACCAGACCUGCACAAUCUAGAUGUUUUUCACUUGGCAGUGGAGCUAAGGAGUGCUGUCGUGAUAUUCGAGGAGCAGUACCAAGGGAAAAGAAGUGGAGGGUCAGAGUCUGCUCCCCUCAUGCGAUGGAAAGCAAGUAACAGCGGGGAGACAGCGAACAUUACUGAUGCCAGGCAAGAGCCGUCCAGCUUGGAGCCGAGCAGCUGUCACCGUCAGUGAGAGAAGUGUCUUGUUAGCUGCGCUGGUACAGGAAUUGUCCAGGAACCCUACCCAGAGGAGAGACUCUCAGAAGUGAACCUGAUCAGCCUGAACAUCUUUCUAAGCAGACAUGAACAGUCCUCAGCUUUAUGCCUCCUGCAUAAAUGGCUAAAAAGAAGUCAUGUGCCAGUCUACUGCCCUCAUGUGAUGGAAAGCGAGCGAGAGUGAUGAGACCGUGAGCAUGGACGGCUUUUCCGUGGCAUCAACCAUCUGGCAGCAGAAGAGCCGUCACUGUCAGUGAGAUAAGUGUCUGUCUGUUUUGGUGAGGGCUCUGCUCAUGGCCCACGUUGAUGCUGGUAGGGAUGCCCCGUUAGCUAGGGCUGGGUUUGUAAGAAAAGGUUCCUUACUAGCUGUGGUUGUAAGAGACAAGGUUCCCAAUUUCAGGGGCUGAUGAUUCCUCUGGUCAGGAGCAGUGUGUCCUACGCAGCAGAAGGUAGCAUCUAGAGGAUGACUCCAGGUGUCGAGUUACUUGCCUUCCUCCCAUGUUUCUCUGUCUUCUCUAUUGUGUUGGCCAACACUCUCGCUCUUUCAUUCUCCCUUCCUUGCCUUUCCUGGUGCCGUCUCCCUAUGUAGGACGCGGGAAAAGGGUGCUAGGUGUGCAUCCACACAGUCUGUCUUUGGGACCCAUGAAGAAUUAGGAGGGUAUGAAAAUCAUGCAUAUUAGUGGGUGCCACAGUGGAGCAGUGUCUGUGGGUGUUGACUUGGUCUUUAAUCAUCGCCUGGGGCUGAUGUAGACCAAAUAAGAGAGGGAGGCAGAGAUUAGGGCAAGAUUUCACAUACCUUCAGAGCUUUGUGUAAUGCUGACUCACCCUUGGCUUUUGCAACUGUACUGGUAGAGGAAUUGUCCAGGAGCUCUAUCUGGAGGAGAGACUCUCAAAAGUGGACCUGAACAUCCUUCUCAGCAGACAUGAACAGUCCUCAGCUUUCUGCCUCCUGCAUAACUGGCUGUGAGUAAGCGGUCGGUGCUAGUGGAAUACCUCAUCUAUACUCGGUGUAGUAUUCUUCACUGUGUCUCCUUGUUGAGUGCGGGGCUCUGUGGUAUUAAGGCUGGGGAGGGGCCAGAGUCUGCUACGCGGAGUGACUAUAUCGGGUGCUGUUGCAAGGGCUGCUUUUUGGUUGUAAUGCUAAAGGUGUAAUGGGAAGACUGUUGAAGGCGGAGCUCCCCUGUGUGGGAGAGGCGAAAAGAAGAGCCAAUGUGACAUUUGCCUACUGAGAUGGUAACUUGCUUGUUUUUCUCCUUGUGCGGGGUUUAGUACCAAGGGAAAAGAAGUCACGUAUCAGUCUACUGUCCUCAUGCGAAGGAAAGCGAGACUGACGAGACCGCGAUCAUUGUCGAAAUCAGGCAUUAGCUGUACAUCUGGGAGCGGAGCAGUCACCGCUGUCAGUGAGAUAAAUGUUUGGUUUGGUGAGGGAUCUGCUCAUGACCCAUCUGGCUCCAGGUAGGGAUGCCCCAUUAGCUGGGGCUGGGUUUGUAAGAAAAGAUUCCUGACUAGCUGCUGUUAUGAGGGAGACAAGGUCCCCAUUUUCAGGGGUUGGUUAUUGGUCUGUUCACAUGCAGUGUGUCCUCUGCAGCAGAAGGUUGUAUCCAGGGGGGAUGAAUCCAGCUGGUGAGUUUCUUGCCUUGCUCUUUCUCUCUCUCUGUCUCUUCUCUAGUGUGUUGGCCAA